ensembl:lincRNA
UAAAGACUAGGGGAGGUGAAUUUGGGAGCAAGGGAACUCAAGAGCUCUGGGUUGGAUGUGUCACAUGAUUUAUUUAUUUAUUUAUUUAUUUUGCAGUUGACAACUGGCGAGGAGAGACUGAGGAGCUGUUCCAGGUGGAAGGUACCUAGAGGCACAUGAUGACCUGGUGCCUUUGGGAUCCUCUGCUGUAAAGGACGUGACCAGCAUAAAGCAGGCCUCGGAUGACAUCUCUGGAAAAUUGGGCUUACCUACUCCAUCCUUGGUCCAGUUCUCAUCCUCAUCAAAGUGAGUGUCUCCACCCAGUCCCAGACCAGGGGGAAAGGCGUGGCCGAGGACUCCCAAGGGGCCGUCGAAGUAACGAGGACACCAACCGUGGACUGGGAAACAGCGGGGGAAGAAGAUCAGCCUCGUCAAAGCUCCCAAGAUGAAAAUGGCUAUAUUGCUUUCUCUGCUGAAAACCUUACCUCGGGUCCUAAAGGCAAUCAUGAUGUCAGCGAUCCCUUUGGAAAUCUUGGUGAAUGUUAGUGGAGUGACUUUGCUCCACACUUCUAAACCUUUUUGGAUAGCCUCAUCCACAUCAGGUCGAGCCAUAUCAGGAGUGUAGUUUACAAUUCUUACAAAUUAACAGAUAUAUAUCAAUUGGCUGUUAUACAAGCAUGUAAACACACAUACUAGGAAAAGAAAACAAUUUCUAUCUUAUCCAUCACAUGCUGCAGUAAGUUUUGGUAUGGUGCUAUCGCUACAUUCGUACAAUGCUUUACCAUUUAAAUUAGGUACUUUUACAUAUGCUAUAUGUUAAUAAUUCAGUCUUUCAUCUGUGCUAUUCAUCAGGUAGUAUGAUUGCACUUAGACAAAUGAGGCUCAAAGAGGUUAAAUGACUUCCCUAAGGUCAUGUCUUAAGUGGAAGAUCAUUCAUUUUAUGCACAGAAUUUGCUGUGCAUAUGACUGUAUGAUAGGUAUCUUCUGAAAAGAACUGAGAUUCAUUUUCUCAAACAGCUUAUAGAAAUCAGUUUUAUGCAUGUGUCAUAUAUUAAGUCUCACUUGAGAGCCACAAAGAGUUUGUUUCUCAGGAAAAGCUCUUGCUUUUGUUUAUAUUCUCUAUUUUGCUAAAUCUACUUUUGCCUCAAUCCCUAAGGCUCAAGAAGAAGAAGGAAGGACUAUUAGACUUUUUAAGGCCAGCCAGGAGGGCUCUGGAGCAGUGGUCAAGGCCACUGACUCUAUCUCGGGUCACAGGCACCCUUCAACCUCUUUCUGCCGAUAAGCCAGCCCCUUUGUUUGUGAUAUCCAAGGUCCACCUGAGAUUUGACAAUCUAACUCAUACAUGUCUCCAACAUGAGCUGGUUGUACUCCAUUUUCUCAUUUUCCCUUGAGCACACUUCAAUUGUACAUUUAAGCAUCUGCAGUCAGACUGUAGAAGUUCUGGUCCUGAGUUAUUAUGGAGGUGGCAGAGGCUAGAGAUUAGAGCAUAUUUGCAGAGCCAGUCUGCUGAGAAGAGCUGUGCAAACUGGCCUAUGCUAAACAAGCUUUUUUUCCUUCCAGUUUCUCCUGUGUUUAAGGUGAUAAUAACAAGGGUGCCUAUGUCACAAGUUUUUUGAGAGGGUGGAAUAAAUAAAACCUAUCAAGCGCUAAGCACACAGGAAGUGCUGGGUAAAAUAAACCAUUAUUAUCUUUGCUUCUUAGAGAUAAUAUUCACAUUCAUUUAGAUUAAGAGCAGGAGCAUUACCUGUAGGUGAGGUUGUACUUCUUCCACCCGGGGAGAGUAUAGCCAUACUGACCCACGUCAGGCACCCCACACCUGGGUGUCUUCAUGAUCUCCAGAGUGUUUGAGUCCAGUUUUCCAGUCACUGUCAAUCCAAAGAAUGCUUGCAUUUCACGGAUUUUGCCAUCUAUGAGACUUCUGUUACUGCUUUGAGCAAGAUGACUCCCUUCUAUUUCAAGAGAGUAGAACUGGUUGAGAUACGCCUGACCGAAAAGACAAAAAAAGGCACGGACUACAGGGCAGCAGACCUCUAUCUCAGGAUAAGCAAGCUUUCCGAGAUCCUUUCCGGCAGCAGGAGGGGAAAAGGAAAUACAUAACAAGGGAAAGAAAAAGAAAAUAAAGAGGAAGGAGAAGAGUCACCCUCUCUUUCAGUUUCCAAAAGCUCAUUGAGCUGUGUGUGACCAGAACCGGCUACACCCAUAGAGCUAGGGAACUCCAAACUUUAACAGACGAGAAGCAUGCUUCUUCUCUGUGUGGGAUGAUCUUGUGUCAUGCACAUUUUUACUGUUACUUUCAUUUGGUGUUUCCUUGAAAUAAAUUAUGGAGAAAAUAUGAUUAUUCACAUGUAGUCACAUUUAAGGAAUUCCAUCAAAUAUGGCGAAGUAACUGGAUUGAUUUUUAGAGGGAAUUUCCAAAGCAGCCUGGUUUUCGUACAUGUAGGAUAAGGAGCUCCAAACUACACUUGGGUCCCCCUGGCUGGUCUUCAGAUGCUUUAAUGGAGAUCUCCGUUCUCACAGAGCUGACCCUGUCUCUGCUCACUCUCUCCUCACUUGUAUCCAGUGCUUAAAUAGCAAAUCCUGCCUUUCUCCCAGCCCACCCAACUCUCCACGCCCCACCAUUCCUGAUGUCUUUAGGGCCAAGGAAAGGAUAAUCAGCUCCUCACAAAAAAGUUCAGGACUCUUUGGUAAGAAUGAGCUGUCUUUUUAGGUCCUCGGACAAUCAGUAAAGUGAAAUUGUUAUGGACAGCCACAAAUGACAUUUACUGAGAGUACCUGAGUCAGUUGCAGGUUCUCCUCGUCUUCCGUCCUUCGGUCUGCAGGAAAUGCAGAGGACAGUGUUGCAAAGACUAAAAGCAGAAGAAGGUUCUUCAUUCCUCUCUCUCCAGUUGAAGCCUCGUUCUGUUUGCAUAGAAUUUAGAAAAUAAUAGUGAGACGUGGCAUGAAUCGGCUUGUAUUAUCCUUUAAUUAAAAACAGAAAAGGACAUUUGCCAUGGAGUGUGUCAUGCAUGAUAUGCUUUUUUUUUCUUAGGUUGAGUUGAUUUCACAAUCAUGAUCUACAAUUUGUUUGGUAAAUACAGUCACUGUUAUUAUUGAAUUAAAAAUAAUAUGAACUGAGGCUCCAAGCUACUUUUGCCCUUGCAAAGUUGGAGGCUUUCCUAUGCAUAAAUUCUUGGGAGUUGAAUAAUUUUCUUUUGAACAAAAGCCCACAAUAUUUGUAUAAUAAGAUAAUUUUCUUUGUAAAAAUUUUAUCUUUUGUUGCG